UAGACCAAAACAGUCUCAAAAUGAUCAGCCACAUGCUAUUUGGGUCAUAGCUACAGAUAAAGGUGUCAUGAGGCUUGUUACAAUGGAUCAUUAAGCUGGUGUCCUGCUGGCUGACUCCAAAAACCUUUCAUUUCCUCAGGACUAUCAUAGCUACCAAAUCUCAUCCUCUUCCAGUGUUCCAAUGACAAGUAAUCUUGUCUAUCCUUACUGCUGCAUGAUGUGACACAGAUGUGACGUACAGUCAUGAGGAAAAGGAAUAUGGACCAAUGAGUUGUGAGGUUGCAUUGAUGGGACACAAGUGUUAGUAUCCAGUUCAUGGAAUAAUUUUACCCUAUGAAUGUGUGCAAUGCUGUGUCUGUCCUUUUGGGCCUACAACUGAAAACUGACUAGUGGGACAGCAGACUAAUGCAGUAAAAGUAAAACGAUCCAAAAUUCAGCAUUACUGAUUGCAGCUAAAGCCUUUCUGAGAUUCCCCCUUAUGGCAACCCUAAAACAAAUCAAAUAGAAACAUCUACGGUAUAUAAGCAACUGUACAUAGGAACCAAAAUCCCCUCUUAUCUUUCUCCUCCUCCUCCUCUUUCCCAGUAAAGGGAGCUGCCUGCAUGUAUGGACAGUCGAGCAGAGACUGGAUUUGUGUAACAUAUGUGUGCAUAUUUUAAAGACUGAACAAAGAGCAUCUCUCAUAGCUAUCGUGCACCACUGCAUUAUUACACACAUCUUCUUUAGUUGUGUAAGAGAGUUUUUUUUUUUUUUUUUUGUAAAGUAUACACUCACACAAUACACUUUUCAUCCCUUUUUUUUUGGCAUUAGUAACAAUAACAACCAAUAAAAAUAACAUCAGCUUAAAAAACAAGAACAUGGUUUACUCUUUUUCUUUUUUUGCAGAAAAACAUAUUUUAGGAUAUUGGUCAGGACUAAAAUCCCUAAAUCUGUGUGUGUGUGUGUGUGCGUGCGUGCGUGGAAAUACUUGCAUGUGUGUGAUUAUCCGGGGCAGCUAGCAGUUGAACUGCUUCUGUGACUGUUAUUUCUUGUCUCCUCUUUGUGUUUUAUAUGCUUUUAUAAUCUGUUUUUUGUUGGUUAUUGUUUUGAAGUGCAGUUAUUUCUUUGUGUUAUUUGAGCUCAGUUUGUGGACUGGAAGUGAGACUUCUUUCAGAGUGCUGAAUCAAACAAGGACAACUGAUUCGCUCCUCUGACAAAAAGUUGGAUAUCUCAUCAGGCAAAGCUGGAGACUUUGCGGUGUGUUCUGCAAGUCAGAGACAUUUCUGAAAUCUUGAAACUUGAGUCUUUUGGCGUCUCUUGCUUUAAGCUUUAUGAAAGUGAGUCAGUUUGAAAGACCCUGAAGGAUAAUGUUACAUGAAAGUGUAUUGCAGUCACCCGUCAUGAAUUGUUGAGACUGACAGCUGAUUUCAACCAAAAUGUCUGCAGAUCUAAUGUAACUAUUGGUCAGUUACUGCCAUCAUACUCCUGGGUUUCUCUUCUGUCCCAUCUUAACAUUCCAUGUUUUUCUGUUAUGUGCUUUGUAUUUCUGGCAGAAGUUAUCAAAAAACUAGUGUUAUUUCACAAUUUUUAUACCCCUUGUUCUGGGUUUCUUCACACAUCAAAGUGAGGUGUACAGUUGGGUCAAAACAUUUGAGGCCAAAAUUUUUUAAGCCUAGAUAUUAUAUAAACAAAGAUUUAUGAUUUAUAAAAUUGGUUGUGACAUAGUAUAAAUAUUUCAGAUUCUGCACUCUCUAG
ensembl:lncRNA